rnacentral:rRNA from 1 species
AUUGAACGCUGGCGGCAUGCUUUACACAUGCAAGUCGAACGGUAACAGGCCGCAAGGUGCUGACGAGUGGCGAACGGGUGAGUAAUGCAUCGGAACGUGCCCAGUCGUGGGGGAUAACGCAGCGAAAGCUGCGCUAAUACCGCAUACGAUCUAUGGAUGAAAGCGGGGGACCGAAAGGCCUCGCGCGAUUGGAGCGGCCGAUGUCCGAUUAGGUAGUUGGUGGGGUAAAGGCUCACCAAGCCAACGAUCUGUAGCUGGUCUGAGAGGACGACCAGCCACACUGGGACUGAGACACGGCCCAGACUCCUACGGGAGGCAGCAGUGGGGAAUUUUGGACAAUGGGCGCAAGCCUGAUCCAGCAAUGCCGCGUGCAGGAAGAAGGCCUUCGGGUUGUAAACUGCUUUUGUACGGAACGAAACGGUCCGGGUUAAUACCCUGGGCUAAUGACGGUACCGUAAGAAUAAGCACCGGCUAACUACGUGCCAGCCGCCGCAGUAAAAC